rnacentral:rRNA from 1 species
AUUGAACGCUGGCGGCAGGCCUAACACAUGCAAGUCGAGCGGUGCGGCGGACGGGUGAGUAAUGCCUAGGAAUCUGCCUGGUCGUGGGGGAUAACGUCCGGAAACGGGCGCUCAUACCGCAUACUAUCAGAUGAGGCUGCGUCGGAUUAGCUAGUUGGUGGGGUAAAGGCCUACCAAGGCGACGAUCCGUAACAGGUCUGAGAGGAUGAUCAGCCACACUGGGACUGAGACACGGUCCAGACUCCUACGGGAGGCAGCAGUGGGGAAUAUUGGACAAUGGGCGAAAGCCUGAUCCAGCCAUGCCGCGUGUGUGAAGAAGGUCUUCGGAUUGUAAAGCACUUUAAGUGGGGAAGCGGUACCAACAGAAUAAGCACCGGCUAACUUCGUGCCAGCAGCCGCGGUAAUAC